AUCAUUAGUCAUUUAAUUGAUGACUUGUAUGAAAGAUUGGAUGAAAUAUAAGCUGUCUCUUUAUUAUUUUAUAGAAUUUAAUUUUUUAAUUAAAAAGUUAAAAUAAAUUAAAAAGACGAGAAGACCCUAUAGAGUUUUAUAUUUAAAGUAAUUGAGAUUAUUUAUAAAGUUUUUAAUUAAAAUUAUUUUAAUUAUUUUGUUGGGGUGACAAAAAAAUAUAAAAAACUUUUUUUAUUAUUUAACAUAAAUAAGUGAGUAUAUGAUCCAAUAUUAUUGAUUAUAAGAAAAAAUUACCUUAGGGAUAACAGCGUAAUUUUUUUUUUUAGUUCGAAUAAAAAAAAGAGUUUGC
rnacentral:rRNA from 1 species